AAUUAAAACAAAACAUAGGUCAAACCAAAAGUCAAUUAAUAAGACUAGGUUAGAAAUAAAUCCAAAAUAAAUUGAAAAUGUGAAAUAAAAUUCUAAGAAAAGGUCAGGUUGAUGAUGAGACAGUGGUCAACCUUCAUCCCAAAACUAAAAUGCUAACAAUAAUUUUAAGUCAUAAAAAUAAAAUCAAUAAAAAAAGUGUGUUAAAAUGGA
rnacentral:lncRNA from 1 species